rnacentral:rRNA from 1 species
UACAGAGGUCUCAAGCGUUGUUCGGAUUCAUUGGGCGUAAAGGGUGCGUAGGCGGCGCGGUAAGUCGGGUGUGAAAUCUCGGAGCUUAACUCCGAAACUGCAUUCGAUACUGCCGUGCUUGAGGACUGGAGAGGAGACUGGAAUUUACGGUGUAGCGGUGAAAUGCGUAGAUAUCAUCAGGAAUACCGGAGGCGAAGGCGGCUCACUGGGGGUUUUCUGACGCUGAGGAACGAAAGCCAGGGUAGCGAACGGG